rnacentral:misc_RNA from 1 species
GGAAAUCUGUGUAUCUAACGGUUGGGUUUAUAACGCCACUUGCACCAGAGCUCUCAACUCACAGGUUCGGUGGAGAAUCUGGAAAAGUAACUCUGACAUUAUUUCCAGAAAGUGUACCCGCGGGAUGGCAGAAGAAGGCCAUCACCACCUCCUGCUGCUACUGCUGCUGCUGGGAUGUGUGUGUGUCGGCCAAGCGUAUAUCACAGUGACUACGAACCUAGGUACAACGAGCGUCAGACGCAGCAACUACCAAACGACGCAGAAAUUAUUCGAGAUCACAGUAGACACCAACGCCUCAAGUUUUCUGUGUGAAGGUUCCUCUGGUUUAUUCAACACCAAGAGGCUCGACCCCGACACCAACUUCUGGAUAUACUUCGAUCCCUCGAAUACUCCCGCGGAGUUAACAGGAGACGAAUACACCGUCAACGGCAACUGCUCCACCGCUGAACCAAACUACGACUCCUUCUCCAUCAAGGUGAACGUCAUCAACAACGAGGCCCCAGUGGUAACCAAUGGACCACUAGUGACUAUAUCGGUACAAGUUACUACAACCAUUGGUCAGAUUAUCGGGACUGUGGUGGCCACGGACAACGACGGCGAUCUGCUGACCUUUAAUGUCCCUACGCAACCGGUCGGGUUCAAUAUGGAUAAUGGUGGACUAAUCAGUACCACUAAAAACAUGGCGGAACUGGACUCAAUAUCAACGUUGAUUUCUGCAUCUGUCAGCGACGCAACUCACACCACAAACUUCCAAGUCAGGAUUAGGCUAGAUAAGUUGAACACGAAGCCGGUGGACAACACGAUCCCCGCCACGAGGGACGUGCAGGAAGAUGCCGUGAGCGGCGUCAUCCACACCUUCAACGUCCCGGACACUACCUUGUUCAACGCUCUCAUCACCACCCUCACCGUCUCCCCUUCCUCCGGCGACGGAAAGUUCAAGAUUGAAAGCAACCAGAUUCAGGUCGUUGGGCCAUUUGACUUCAAUGCCGUCCCCACCUACACCCUGACGGUCCGCCUCAACGACGGCUUUAAGAGCAACAGCUACAACAUCAACGUCAAUAUCAUCGACGCCAACGACCCCCCAGCAUGUACCAGAACAAGCUACAUCGUUUCUGCCAACGAAAACACGAUGUCCCCAAUACCUAUCAGUGGGUUUGGCAUCACAGACGCUAGCGGACAGACCCACACCCUCGCCCUCUCAAACAACUACUUCAGCGUAUCUCAGAAUUCAGGUUCGACUGAAAUAAGGCCAAACGUCGCCCUUGACUGCGAAUCAAAUACGCCCAUUCCAAACCCCGUGACCAUCAAUAUCACCGUCACGGACAACUUCGGUGCCUCUGGCACAUGUGCAGUCACUAUUCAGUGCAACGACACGAACGACAACAGCCCCGAGUUUGUAACAUCCACGUACAGCUUCCUGGUGGCGACCGACAUGGCAAUCGGGACGUCUAUCGGCAAGGUCAGUGCUACUGACAAGGACGUUACCACCACGACUAACGGUAAGGUGGUCUACAGUCUGCAGCUGUCAAACCCAGUAGAAAUUGUAAAGGUGCUUCCGAACGGGGACGUUUUGAUCAACAAAGACAUCUCCGGCAUGUACAGCAACUCCGUGUCCGGGGAGAUACUGGCCACAGAUCAAGGGGCUGGAGCUAACCAGGGCACUGCGACGUUCUUGUUCAAAUGGAACGAGGCUCCUGAUAUCAGUAAUCUCCCGGACUCGGGUAGUCUAUCGGAAGACACGACUGGGGAGUCGCUCAUCUUGGAACUCACCACAACUGACCCGGAAACAGACGCCGUCACGUGUCGCUCAGGCACUAUCAGCCUGCCCGGGGCUCCUUUCACAGUGAAGCUCGUCUCUGGCAAAUUUGGUAUUUACUACACUGGAAAUGCGCCGCUUAGUUCACUUCCGGUAAAAAACAUUCAGAUCGGGGUUAUUUGCGAAGAUGGAAAAGGUGGCUCCAUUGAAAAGAACUAUGACCUUCAACUCAAUCCCAACGAAAGACCACAAGCAUCAUGCUCACCGACUGCGACGACGCAAAUUAGCGCCAAAUCCAUCAAAACGAACGACAUCGUAUACACCAUUCCCGUAACGGACAAGGAGAACAAUCCUAUAUCUGUUAUAUCCGUGUGUGAUCCGGAAUUGGGACUGUUCGUUUAUGACUCUGCCACUGUGGCGUUGAAGGCGACGACAUCAUUUCAUGGUGUGACCAAAUCCAGCAUCACCUGCACACUGCGCAUCAGCGACGGCAAACACCCGCCAAUGGAUGAUGUCACCUGCUUUGUCACUAUCACCAUCACAGACCUGAACCAAGCCCCGACAAUAGACAACGACAAGCAGGUGGUGAGGCACAGCGAGCUGACCAAGCCAGGCCUCGAACUCUUUAAGUUCGACAUCACCGACGACGACAAGGUCGAAAUUUCCUACGAAGUAAACCCUGUCGCAUACGCUUCAUAUUUCACAGUCAACUCUACUUCUGGAUCCGUAACAUUAUUGAAGGACCUGGAUUUUGAGACACUGCCAAAAACAUACAUCAUCACCAUCGUCGCUGACGACAGCGUCCUCAAAGCAACGGGGACGGUAACAAUCGAGGUCACAGACGACAACGAUCCCCCGGUUUUUGAUAAGAAUAAGUACAUUGUGUCUCUCAAAGAAGGGGAGGCCCUGGCAUCCAGCGUCGACUUAGGUUUAAAGGUGACAGACACAGACACGGGGGACACGCACUCCUUCCGCGUCCUUGCUCCUUACAGCAGCACCUUCACCAUCGAUGGAACUACACUCAAGAACCUGGUGCCGAUUGACCUGGACGCGGCCGGUUCCCAAACAACUUACGAUAUAGUGGUUGAGGCUGAUGAUAAGAAUGGGGGUCUUGCGACAACCAACGUGAGCAUCAUUCUUCAACAAAUCAACGACAACACCCCCUACUUUGACGCCAACCCUUUUAGCAACUGCGUUAUCGGACUGGCGUUACCAAUUUCGACUGAAAUAUGCUCUGGCACUGCUAAAGACGAUGAUGACGACCUCCAGGACAAGACGUUGACAUACUCUAUUGGCGCCUCAAGCCAUCCUGGAGUGUUCAAGAUGGUCGGGAACGGCAUCUUCCUGCAGGAGGCCCUGCAGCAAUCCUACUACGGGCAGCUGAUGAGUGUAGAGGUCAUCGCCACAGAUGCCGGAACCGACCCCGGGACUCUCGCCGGCUCAGUCAAUGUCGCCUUCGAAUGGAACAAGGCGCCCACCUGUACAGCUCCCACGGGACUCCAGCUACCGGAGGACGCCACAUCUAAGGACAUCCCAGGGUCGGACAUCACAGCAACAGACCCUGAGCCGGCCGACACCGUCACCAUCGCCAUGGCGUGCUCACCAGGCACCACCGAGUUCGCUGUACAAAACAAGAAGGUCCACUAUUCCGGGUCCCCCACCCUGUCCUUCAAGAACACCCCCUCCUACACGUGUGUUCUGACAUGCACCGAUGGAAAUGGAGGAAAGGACGAGAGGAAUUUCACAAUCACAAUCACUAAGAACAAACCGCCUAAUCCAUCUUGUAGUGCAAUGACCAAGCCGAUAGCAGAUGCGAAAGCGGUGAGCAAAGGCGACCACAUUUUGACGUUCCCUAGCGACGACCCCGAGAAAGACGACAUCACCUACUCCAUUCUGAUGAGUCCCGCGUCCUCACUGUUCCAGGUCAAUCCAGACACCGGGGAACUGACGGCUAGUGCAGAUCUGAAAAACCAGAAGGCUGAUUUCGUAGAGAUCACGGCAACACUGAGUGACCCUUUUGAGAAUACGGCCGUGUGCAAAGUUUCCAUCACCAUAAACAAUGUUAACAAGAAGCCAGUGCUGACCCAGACGAAUACCAAAGUGUUCGCCAAAGAGGACGCAGCGCCCGGAGUCGAGAUAUUCAAACUGACCAUCACUGACGAAGACACCCACGCGACUGGCUAUUCGACCACGAUCAAAACCCUCCCUGAAGAGGCGGCCGCCAACUUUGAGGCUGUGGUGACCGACAAGGUUGUCUCAAUCAAACUACGUGCUGGCAGAGAGCUGGACUACGAGACGUUAAACAAGUACACAUUUUUUGUCAGCGUCAAUGACGGCUGUUGGACGUCUGACGACAUCGUCACAUACUUGGACAUCGAUGAUGUCAAUGAGGCUCCGGGCAUUGUCAACGGGUUGAAAUAUUCGGCUGAGUUUAAAGAGGACCAAGUGAACCAGUGUGUCAAAUUAGGCUGCGGUGGUUUCGACCCAGACUUCGGCGACGUUGAAAAGUGGAAGUGGACGAUCACUGAUCCGGCCAAGUACAAGGACUCGUUCACCAUCAGUGGCGCCGACUGUACUCUGUGUCUCAGGGCAGCGAUCGAGCUGGACCCUGAACUGAGAGACAAGAAGGCAGACAAGGAACUGAUUGAUCUGAAGGUCGAGUUCGUAGAUAAGGGCGACCUUCCCACAGAAAAGGUCAAGUUUGACGUCGCCGUGACAGUGUUGGAGGUGAACGACAACGACCCCAUAUUCGAGAUGCCAAGUUACUUUGGCCAAGUGUUUAACACAGAUUUAGAAGGGAAGGAGAUCAUCGCCAUGGUAGCUGACGACCUGGACGCGCUCACGAACGGGAUGUUCACAUGUAGAGCCAAGCAGUGCGAUGCCGCCCUGGACGGAUAUAUCACCGUUGGUGCCGACUGCAAGGUCCGACUGUCCAGCUCAAUGGCUACUGGGUUUGUUGGAGGGCAGAACUUCAAGUGUGACGUUGAAGUCAUUGACAAUGGGAAUCCUCAAAGGAAGAGUGAAACUAAGCUGGACCUGCAAUACGUACUUGUAACCACCCUGCCACCACCACCAACCGAGACACCAGAUCCUAAUGCAAAUGCAAAUGCUAACGCAAAUGCCAAUGCUAACGCUAACGGUAACGCUAAUGCAAAUGGCAACAUAGCAGGUGGGGCCAAUGGAGCCCUCAACUUAUUGUCCAACUCGGCAAAUUCCGGUUCAGGCUCCAAUGGCUUCUCCUCGCUGAGCCCGGGAGCCAUGGCGGGAUUGAUCUGUGGAGCCGUGGCUAUAGGUGGCGCUCUGACGGCGGCGGCCGUUGUAGGCGGGAUCCAGGCCAAGAAGCGAUGUGCGGCCAGGAACCGGAACAAGCCGAACACACGGAGAUACAAUGUCAACUCGCGUGAGUCAACGAUCAAGAAUAACCGUGUCAGCACAACCUCCAGUGUCAAACUCAACAUGCUGAAUGAUCCCGGUGUUGGGAAAACACAGAUCACGCCUGUCUACUACCGCUAGCCACACGUUACUGUCACCGUUACACACGGAUGUCCAUGUGUUGUCAACAGUCUGUAGAACUAUAUAGUCAUCCCCAUGUUACUCUAUGUAAAUGCAGUAAGUGCAGUUGUCUAUAACAAUUAAUAAUCCCAUUUUAGGAUGGAGUAAUCAUCCUUGCAUUCCGUACGAUCCUUUGUAUUCUCCACAAUUAUCAAGGUAGUUUCAAAACUGGUAAUUAGUUACUUGUAUCAUGCAUCUGUAUGGCAUGUCUUCCCUGAUGCUAUAUACCCACGGAAACCCCUUCAACGUGCCUAUCCUCGUGUAAAGGUGAUGGAAUAGAGUUUCCAUAUUUAUAAAUCGGGAUGUUUUCAGAAAUAAGUUCCAUGGGACGUGUUGAAUAUAUUCUCUUGUGUUAUGUGCACUGAAGCCAUUGAAUAUCAUCCAGGCCCUGUCUAGGAAGUAUAUCAACCAGGCCCUGUCUAGCAAAUAUCAUUCAGGCCCUGUCUUCGACGUAUAUCAUGAACACUGUCUAGGAAGUAUAUCAUCCAGGCUCUGUCUUCGACGUAUAUCAUCCAGACUGUCUAGAAAGUAUAUCAUCCAGACUGAAAGUAUAUCAUCCAGGCUCUGUCUAGGAAGUACAUCAUCCAGGGUCUGUCUAGCAAAUAUCAUUCAGGCCCUGUCUUCGACGUAUGUCAUGAAAACUGUCUAGGAAGUAUAUCAUCCAGACUGUCUAGGAAGUACAUCAUCCAGGCUCUGUCUUCGACGUAUAUCAUGAAGACUGUCUAGGAAGUAUAUCAUCCAGACUGUCUAGGACGUAUAUCACCAGGCUCUGCCCAGGACGCAUAUCAUCCAGGCUCUGGCCUAGGAAGUAUAUCAUCCAGGCUCUGUCUAGGAAGUAUAUCAUCCAGACUGUCUAGCAAAUAUCAUCCAGGCUCUGUUUUCGACGUAUAUCAUGAAGACUGUCUAGGAAGUAUAUCAUCCAGAUUGUCUAGGAAGUAUAUCAUCCAGGCUCUGUCUUCGACGUAUAUCAUGAAGACUGUCUAGGAAGUAUAUCAUCCAGACUGUCUAGGACGUAUAUCAUCCAGGCUCUGCCCAGGACGCAUAUCAUCCAGGCUCUGGCCUAGGAAGUAUAUCAUCCAGGCUCUGUCUAGGAAGUAUAUCAUCCAGACUGUCUAGCAAAUAUCAUCCAGGCUCUGUUUUCGACGUAUAUCAUGAAGACUGUCUAGGAAGUAUAUCAUCCAGACUGUCUAGGAAGUAUAUCAUCCAGGCUCUGUCUUCGACGUAUAUCAUUAAGACUGUCUAGGAAGUAUAUCAUCCAGACUGUCUAGGACGUAUAUCAUCCAGGCUCUGUCCAGGACGCAUAUCAUCCAGGCUCUGGCCUAGGAAGUAUAUCAUCCAGGCUGUCUAGGAAGUAUAUCAUCUAGGCUCUGUCUUCGACGCAUAUCAUCCAGGCUCUGGCCUAGGGUGUAUAUCAUCAAGGCUCUGUCUUCGACGCAUAUCAUCCAGGCUCUGGCCUAGGAAGUAUAUCAUCCAGGCUCUGUCUUCGACGUAUAUCAUCCAGACUGUCUAGACAGUAUAUCAUCCAGACAGGCAUGGUGGCGAUAGGCAGGUAGAGACACACGUCCUUGGAGGUAUGGUGGCGAUAGGCAGGUAGAGACACACGUCCUUGGAGGUAUGGUGGCGAUAGGCAGGUAGAGACACACGUCCUUGGAGGUAUGGUGGCGAUAGGCAGGUAGAGACACACGUCCUUGGAGGUAUGGUGGCGAUAGGCAGGUAGAGACACACGUCCUUGGAGGUAUGGUGGCGAUAGGCAGGUAGAGAUGAGGGGUGUUUCAAUAGGUUGCGGUCGAAGCAAGACGAUGAAGGGAGUGCGAAGAUAUUCGUUUGGUUUGAUGAAUGUUUUCUAUUAUGUUCUGUUAAUUACUGUGCUUUCACGUUGGCUUAAUGAAGUGAAUGCUCCAUUUAGUCAUUGAAUGUUAAACCUUCACACACAAUUUGGUUUAAAGAAAUGCAUGCACUUCGCAACCCUUUUGAAAUAGUAUCGAACUUUUAAAAUAUAGCACUGUAUGUAUACAGAUACAUGAUUCAAUUUAUUAUUAUGUAUCAUAUGAGAGUGUUAGCUACUUCUGAAAUGUGCCAAAUGUGUAGAUGACUGUGAUAUCUGUAUUUAUGUAUUUAUGUUGUAUUUUACUUUCUGUUUAAAUAAAUGCAUGGCAAUUAG